rnacentral:tRNA from 1 species
GGGGAUGUAGCUCAGCUGGGAGAGCGCCUGCUUUGCAAGCAAGAGGUCAGGGGUUCGAGCCCCCUCAUCUCCA